UUUCUCCCCUGAUGACGUGCACUGGGCUCUGAGACAGUUUGAAGAAGGUUGUGCAUCUCUGGCCCUGACAAGCCAGAGUUCCUGAGGAGAUA